rnacentral:rRNA from 1 species
GAUAUACAUGCAGUCGAACGGAAACGAUGGAAGCUUGCUUCCNGGCGUCGAGUGGCGGACGGGUGAGUAAUACUUGGGAAUCUGCCCAUUAGUUGGGGAAAACACGGGGAAACUCGUGCUAAUACCGAAUAAUCUCUACGGAGGAAAGGGGACCUCUAUUUAUAAGUUCUCGCUAAUGGAUGAGCCCAAGAAAGAUUAGCUAGUUGGUAAGGUAAUGGCUUACCAAGGCUACGAUCUUUAGCUGUUCUGAGAGGAUGAUCAGCCACACUGGGACUGAGACACGGCCCAGACUCCUACGGGAGGCAGCAGUAGGGAAUAUUGCACAAUGGGGGAAACCCUGAUGCAGCAAUACCGCGUGUGUGAAGAAGGCUUUCGGGUUGUAAAGCACUUUCAAUAGAGAAGAAAAGCUUAGUGUUAAUACCACUAAGUCUUGACGUUAUCUAUACAAGAAGCACCGGCUAAUUCCGUGCCAGCAGCCGCGGUAAUACGGAAGGUGCGAGCGUUAAUCGGAAUUACUGGGCGUAAAGCGUGCGUAGGCGGUUUAUUAAGUCAGAUGUGAAAGCCCCGGGCUUAACCUGGGAACUGCAUUUGAAACUGGUCAACUAGAGUAUGGUAGAGGAAAGUGGAAUUUCUGGUGUAGCGGUGAAAUGCGUAGAUAUCAGAAGGAACAUCAAUGGCGAAGGCAGCUUUCUGGACCAAUACUGACGCUGAGGUACGAAAGCGUGGGUAGCAAACAGGAUUAGAUACCCUGGUAGUCCACGCCGUAAACGAUGAUAACUAGCCGUUGGGGGGAUUUACCCCUUAGUGGCGAAGCUANCGCGUUAAGUUAUCCGCCUGGGGAGUACGGCCGCAAGGUUAAAACUCAAAGGAAUUGACGGGGACCCGCACAAGCGGUGGAGCAUGUGGUUUAAUUCGAUGCAACGCGAGACCUUACCUGGUCUUGACAUCCUGCGAACUUUCUAGAAAUAGAUUGGUGCCUUCGGGAACGCA